rnacentral:rRNA from 1 species
UGAGGAAUAUUGGUCAAUGGCCGAGAGGCUGAACCAGCCAAGUCGCGUGAGGGAUGACGGCCCUACGGGUUGUAAACCUCUUUUGCCGGGGAGCAAAGAGCGGGACGCGUCCCGCCUCGAGAGUACCCGGAGAAAAAGCAUCGGCUAACUCCGUGCCAGCAGCCGCGGUAAUACGGAGGAUGCGAGCGUUAUCCGGAUUUAUUGGGUUUAAAGGGUGCGCAGGCGGAAGCGCAAGUCAGCGGUAAAAUUGAGAGGCUCAACCUCUUCCCGCCGUUGAAACUGCGUUUCUUGAGUGGGCGAGAA